ensembl:miRNA gga-mir-122b gga-mir-122b
AUUUUUCAGACAGUGUGACACUGGUGUUUUUGUUGGGUGUUUGGGGGAGCGAGGCAGUGUUAUAGACAUAGAAAGGU